CCUUAUACUGGGGGAUAGCCUUUAGAAAUGAAGAUUAACACCCCAUGGUAUGUGACUGUGGCAUCACAGACACAUUAAAGGUUACGGUAUAAGAUGAGUAUGCGUCCUAUUAGCUGGAUGGUAAGGUAACGGCUUACCAUGGCUACGAUAGGUAGGGGCCCUGAGAGGGGGAUCCCCCACACUGGUACUGAGACACGGACCAGACUCCUACGGGAGGCAGCAGUGAGGAAUAUUGGACAAUGGGCGAGAGUGAUCCAGCCAUGCCGCGUGCAGGAAGACUGCCCUAUGGGUUGUAAACUGCUUUUAUACGGGAAGAAACCGCCCCACGCGUGGGCUCUGACGGUACCGUACGAAUAAGCAUCGGCUAACUCCGUGCCAGCAGCCGCGGUAAUACGGAGGAUGCAAGCGUUAUCCGGAAUCAUUGGGUUUAAAGGGUCCGUAGCGGGCAAUUAAGUCAGGGGUGAAAGUUUGCGGCUCAACCGUAAAAUUGCCUUUGAUACUGGUUGUCUUGAAUUACUGUGAAGUGGUUAGAAUAUGUAGUGUAGCGGUGAAAUGCAUAGAUAUUACAUAGAAUACCAAUUGCGAAGCAGAUCACUAACAGUAUAUUGACGCUGAGGGACGAAAGCGUGGGGAGCGAACAGGAUUAGAUACCCUGGUAGUCCACGCUGUAAACGAUGGAUACUAGCUGUUCGGACUUCGGUCUGAGUGGCUAAGCGAAAGUGAUAAGUAUCCCACCUGGGGAGUACGUUCGCAAGAAUGAAACUCAAAGGAAUUGACGGGGGCCGCACAAGCGUGGAGCAUGUGGUUUAAUUCGAUGAUACGCGAGGAACCUUA
rnacentral:rRNA from 1 species